rnacentral:rRNA from 1 species
UACGUAGGGGGCAAGCGUUGUCCGGAAUCAUUGGGCGUAAAGAGCUCGUAGGCGGUCUGUUGCGUCGGUUGUGAAAACCUGGGGCUCAACUCCAGGCCUGCAAUCGAUACGGGCAGACUAGAGUUCGGUAGGGGAGACUGGAAUUCCUGGUGUAGCGGUGAAAUGCGCAGAUAUCAGGAGGAACACCUAUUGUGAAGGCAGCUCGCUGGGACGUUACUGACGCUGAGACGCGAAAGCGUGGGGAGCAAACAGG